rnacentral:rRNA from 1 species
UACGUAGGGUCCGAGCGUUGUCCGGAAUUAUUGGGCGUAAAGAGCUCGUAGGCGGUUUGUCGCGUCUGCUGUGAAAACUGGAGGCUCAACCUCCAGCCUGCAGUGGGUACGGGCAGACUAGAGUGCGGUAGGGGGAGAAUGGAAUUCCUGGUGUAGCGGUGGAAUGCGCAGAUAUCAGGAGGAACACCGAUGGCGAAGGCAGUUCUCUGGGCCGUAACUGACGCUGAGGAGCGAAAGCGUGGGGAGCGAACAGG